GCACGAGAAAGUGGAGCAAUCCAUGAGUAAAGUGGCGCACGGGUGAGUAACACGUGACUAACCUACCCUCGAGUGGGGAAUAACCUAGAGAAAUCUGGGCUAAUACCGCAUAACACUUACGAGUCAAAGCAGCAAUGCGCUUGAGGAGGGGGUCGCGGCCGAUUAGCUAGUUGGCGGGGUAAUGGCCCACCAAGGCGAUGAUCGGUAUCCGGCCUGAGAGGGCGCACGGACACACUGGAACUGAAACACGGUUCAGACUCCUACGGGAGGCAGCAGUGGGGAAUUUUGCGCAAUGGGGGAAACCCUGACGCAGCAACGCCGCGUGGAGGAUGAAAUCCCUUGGGACGUAAACUCCUUUCGACCGGGAAGAUAAUGACGGUAUCGGAAGAAGAAGCACCGGCUAACUUUGUGCCAGCAGCCGCGGUCAU
rnacentral:rRNA from 1 species